rnacentral:rRNA from 1 species
ACGGGGCGCAGCAGGCGCGAAAACUUGGCAAUGCGAGAAAUCGUGACCAGGGAACUCCAAGUGGCAGGGGUAAGACCCUGUCUUUUUUCGACUCUAAAUAGGUCGACGAAUAAGGGGUGGGUAAGGACGGUGCCAGCAGCCGCGGUAAU